CCUACGGGAGGCAGCAGUCGAGAAUCAUUCACAAUGGGGGAAACCCUGAUGGUGCGACGCCGCGUGGGGGAAUGAAGGUCUUCGGAUUGUAAACCCCUGUCAUGUGGGAGCAAAUUAAAAAGAUAGUACCACAAGAGGAAGAGACGGCUAACUCUGUGCCAGCAGUCGCGGUAAUACAGAGGUCUCAAGCGUUGUUCGGAAUCACUGGGCGUAAGGCGUGCGUAGGCUGUUUCGUAAGUCGUGUGUGAAAGGCGCGGGCUCAACCCGCGGACGGCACAUGAUACUGCGAGACUAGAGUAAUGGAGGGGGAACCGGAAUUCUCGGUGUAGCAGUGAAAUGCGUAGAUAUCGAGAGGAACACUCGUGGCGAAGGCGGGUUCCUGGACAUUAACUGACGCUGAGGCACGAAGGCCAGGGGAGCGAAAGGGAUUAGAUACCCCAGUAGUC
rnacentral:rRNA from 1 species